rnacentral:rRNA from 1 species
AUGGCGUACGUGGACCACGCCUUCUCCAUCACCGACGAGGACGACCUGGUGGGCGGCGCGGCGGGGGGCCGGCCGCGCGGCGCGCCGGUCAAGGAGAUCGCCUUCGCCGCCGCGCUGCUCGCGUUCGGCGCGCUCGGCGUCGUCGCCGGCCUCGUCAUGGCCGGCCACCGCGUCGGCGGCGACCGCUCCCACGGGAUUUUCUUCACAGUGCUGGGCGUAGUGAUGUUCAUCCCUGGAUUCUACUACACAAGAGUAGCGUAUUAUGCUUACAAAGGGUACCAGGGCUUCUCUUUUGCCAACAUCCCUCCCAUCUGA